rnacentral:rRNA from 1 species
GACGAACGCUGGCGGCGUGCUUAACACAUGCAAGUCGAACGGAAAGUCCCUGCUUUUGUGGGGUGCUCGAGUGGCGAACGGGUGAGUUACACGUGUGUAACCUGUCCUUGUCUUUGGGUUAACUUCAGGAAACUUGGGCUAUUAUCGGAUAGGAUCUCCUGCUGCAUGGUGGGCGUUGGUAAGUUUCGGCUGUUGGGGAUGUACUCGCCGCUUAUCGGCUUGUUCGGGGGGUAGUGGCUUACCAAGGCUUUGACGGGUAGCCGGCCUGCGAGGGGGACCGGCGACAUUGGGACUGAGAUAAGGCACAGACUGCUACGGGACGCAGCAGAGGGGAAUAUAGCACAAUAGGCGGAAGCCUGAUGCAGCAACGCCGCGUGCGGGAUGACGGCCUUCGGGUAGUAAACCGAUGUCGCAUGUGACGAAGAGUGAGUGACGGUAAUGGGUAAAGAAGCACCGGCUAACUACGUG